rnacentral:rRNA from 1 species
AUUGAACGCUGGCGGCAGGCCUAACACAUGCAAGUCGAGCGGAUGAAGGGAGCUUGCUCCUGGAUUCAGCGGCGGACGGGUGAGUAAUGCCUAGGAAUCUGCCUGGUAGUGGGGGAUAACGUCCGGAAACGGGCGCUAAUACCGCAUACGUCCUGAGGGAGAAAGUGGGGGAUCUUCGGACCUCACGCUAUCAGAUGAGCCUAGGUCGGAUUAGCUAGUUGGUGGGGUAAAGGCCUACCAAGGCGACGAUCCGUAACUGGUCUGAGAGGAUGAUCAGUCACACUGGAACUGAGACACGGUCCAGACUCCUACGGGAGGCAGCAGUGGGGAAUACUGGACAAUGGGCGAAAGCCUGAUCCAGCCAUGCCGCGUGUGUGAAGAAGGUCUUCGGAUUGUAAAGCACUUUAAGUUGGGAGGAAGGGCAGUAAGUUAAUACCUUGCUGUUUUGACGUUACCAACAGAAUAGGCACCGGCUAACUUCGUG